rnacentral:misc_RNA from 1 species
CAUUAUUUGCGAAGUCACCAAAUAUAGCAUGAUAAAUUAUCGCUUUGGCAUUUAGGUUGUUGGAAAAAGUUUCACAGAUUUGAUUUUAAGAGAUUUAUAACAGUCUCACUCCAGAUACAUAUUUUACAACCAUAGACUUCAUCAUUAGUUGAUUCAGCAAUGUCAACAAAUGCUUGUAAAAUUUACACAAUUACUUGUAUCUAUAUUUGCUGUAAAGGCAAAGUAGUAAUGUUCUUUGGUGAUUUGCAUUUCUGUUCAUUUGAUUAUAAGAAUAAUGUGCAGGUAGUGUUAAAAACUCGUAUAU